GUUGAACGCUAGCGGCAGGCUUAACACAUGCGAGUCGAGGGGCAGCGGGGAGGAAGCUUGCUUUCUCCGCCGGCGACCGGCGCACGGGUGAGUAACACGUAUGCAACCUGCCCCUGUCAGGGGGACAACCCGCCGAAAGGCGGGCUAAACCCGCGUACAUGCCACCGGGGCAUCCCGGAGGCAGGAAAGGCUUCGGCCGGACAGGGAUGGGCAUGCGGCGCAUUAAGCAGUAGGCGGGGUAACGGCCCUCCUAUCCGCCGAUGCGUAGGGGUUCUGAGAGGAAGGUCCCCCACACUGGUACCGAGACACGGACCAGACUCCUACGGGAGGCAGCAGUGAGGAAUAUUGGUCAAUGGUCGGGAGACUGAACCAGCCAAGCCGCGUGAGGGAUGAAGGUACAGAGUAUCGUAAACCUCUUUUGUCAGGGAACAAAGGCGGGGACGUGUCCCCGGAUGAGUGUACCUGAAGAAAAAGCAUCGGCUAACUCCGUGCCAGCAGCCGCGGUAAUACGGAGGAUGCGAGCGUUAUCCGGAUUUAUUGGGUUUAAAGGGUGCGCAGGCGGUCUGUUAAGUCAGCGGUCAAAGCCCGGGGCUCAACCCCGGCCCGCCGUUGAAACUGGCAGUCUCGAGUUGGAGAGAAGUAUGCGGAAUGCGCGGUGUAGCGGUGAAAUGCAUAGAUAUCGCGCAGAACUCCGAUUGCGAAGGCAGCAUGCCGGCUCCACACUGACGCUGAGGCACGAAAGCGUGGGUAUCGAACAGGAUUAGAUACCUGGGUAGUCCACGCAGUAAACGAUGAAUGCUGGCUGUCCGGGGGGAUUGACCCCUGGGUGGCGAAGCGAAAGCGAUAAGCAUUCCACCUGGGGAGUACGCCGGCAACGGUGAAACUCAAAGGAAUUGACGGGGGCCCGCACAAGCGGAGGAACAUGUGGUUUAAUUCGAUGAUACGCGAGGAACCUUACCCGGGCUCAAACGGGGAGUGACUCAGGCAGAGACGCCUGUUUCCCACGGGACACUCCCCGAGGUGCUGCAUGGUUGUCGUCAGCUCGUGCCGUGAGGUGUCGGCUUAAGUGCCAUAACGAGCGCAACCCCCGCGUGCAGUUGCUAACAGAUAACGCUGAGGACUCUGCACGGACUGCCGGCGCAAGCCGCGAGGAAGGCGGGGAUGACGUCAAAUCAGCACGGCCCUUACGUCCGGGGCGACACACGUGUUACAAUGGGUGGUACAGCGGGAAGCCAGGCGGCGACGCCGAGCGGAACCCGAAAUCCACUCUCAGUUCGGAUCGGAGUCUGCAACCCGACUCCGUGAAGCUGGAUUCGCUAGUAAUCGCGCAUCAGCCAUGGCGCGGUGAAUACGUUCCCGGGCCUUGUACACACCGCCCGUCAAGCCAUGGGAGCCGAGGGCGCUUGAAGUGCGUCGCCGCGAGGCGCGCCCUAGAGCGAAAUCGGUGACUGGGGCUAAGUCGUAACAAGG
rnacentral:rRNA from 1 species